UUGACAGAGUUGAUUUCAGCACUAAGGUUUUUGGGAUUGUGUCCUAGAACUGUAAUUGUAAAUUACUAGUGUCAAAAGUGGCCUCUUCCCCCAUACAAGGUUCCUUCCACGCACUUUUUUUGAUAGCUCUCUGGACAGUCUGGUGUGAAACCAGCGAGAUCUGCUGCAUGGGCCCUCAUGUACUUCAGGGGAUUGGCCUGGGCUGUUUUCUUUAACUCCUCCGGAUUCUGUUUGGUUUUUUUAAAGAUCUUCUUCCUCUACAACGUUUUAGACUUGCUGAUAGCGUAGACGAUAGUCCUGGAGACGCCCAACUGCUUGGAGUGCGCGAAUGGAAAUUCGUCAAUCACGUUAAAGUGUAAAUUUUCUCGACUUGUACUUAAGCUAAAGAGCUCAGAUAGAAACUCAGUCGGAGAGUUCUCUUCCUUGCACACUAACCCCUCCCUCAACUUUGGGCCAAGGUUGAAAACAUCGUAGAAUUGUUAAUUUGUUUAACAGGUCUUAUUUUUCUUUAUGGAAACUUUCAGGAUGUUUAGUAAAUGGAAUUAUCAGGGUAAUAUGCUAGUGUAUGAGUAGCACCUCCUUCAGUUUCUCUUCUUUAGCCUUAUUCUAUUUUUUGUUCAAGACAGUUAUCACAAUUCAAUACUUUUGUCUUUAUUCAUUUACACAAA
rnacentral:lncRNA from 1 species